rnacentral:rRNA from 1 species
UACGGAGGGGGCUAGCGUUGUUCGGAAUUACUGGGCGUAAAGCGCGCGUAGGCGGACCUGCAAGUCGGGGGUGAAAGCCCGAGGCUCAACCUCGGAACUGCCUUCGAUACUGCGGGUCUCGAGUCCGGGAGAGGUGAGUGGAACUGCGAGUGUAGAGGUUGAAAUUCGUAGAUAUUCGCAAGAACACCAGUGGCGAAGGCGGCUCACUGGCCCGGUACUGACGCUGAGGUGCGAAAGCGUGGGGAGCAAACAGG